AGCCCCGUAGUCUAGCGGCCAAGGACUGCUGACUCUGAACCAGCGAACAUCGGUUCAAAUUCGAGUGGGGCUA
rnacentral:tRNA from 1 species